rnacentral:misc_RNA from 1 species
UCACCGCCCGCCACACUGUGUACCAGAAUCCAUGAAACAACCAAGAGACCGAGGUCGCCGCCCACCACAGUCUGCCCGCCACAAACCGUGUACCAGAUCACUUUAAACGCACACCUGCAUGUACAUUUAGAAUGAGUUCGGUUGUGAAGUGUACUAAUUUCAAUUCCGUUUAGUAUAUUCACUCAAACCAUGAAAUGGUACAUAAGGUCAAACAGUAUAUACAGUUAAAAAGUCAAAGGCACAUUUUAUAGAUGAAAAAAAGGUAGUAAAUCAAGAGUAAAUAGGCUUAAAUAUACAAUAUAUAUAAUAAAGAUAGAAAAAAGUAGAAUCGUUGAGGACAAACUAAUUUAUCAGACGGUAUAUUUUGAUAAUAAAAUGACAAUUUUUUCAGAGUUGUACCAUUAGUACAAAACACAGGCUCGCAGUUGGUGCUGAACAGUAUUUAUCCUCAAAAUAUUUAUGUCUCAACAUCAAUAGCUCUUUACAUUCAAGAAUAUAAUGAAAUUCGUCAGACAUUUGACCUGAAUUACAUAGUUUAAACACUCUUUGGUUUAGAGGAAUAUUGCACCAUCUCCCAGUCUCCACUGGUGAUGGUGGUUUAAGGUUCUAAAUUUCAUGAAAAUCUUUCUGAGUUUGUGUGGCAAUAUAUUAAUGUAAUUGUUUUUAAACUAAAAAAUUUCUUUAAAAUCUUGUUUAUUUGCCUUUUUUAAUUUCACUAGACUAUUUUUAAUAUAAGUUAACUCGCAAAUUCUUAAGUCUCCAACCCUUCACUCACCCCCACCCACACCCACACACACACACAAACAAGAGGUUUUUUUCGUAAAUCAUUACCAUUGUGUUGUGAAUUCCAGUUCGUGUGCUUUAAAUGAAGGCUAAACUCCACAUUAAUAACAACAUACGGUGGUAAUUUUACAUAUUUCAUAUUUUAUGUCGUACAUAUCAUAUGUACAAUUGUUUUAUUAGUGUUUUGUACAUGUAUUUGUUGCUAGGACAGUUGGGAUUGAUUAAACAUUUCUUGGUCCUUCAAAAACAAAAGGGCAUAUAAAAAUAAUCAGAAAGUGUACACGAUUUUUUUCUAAUAAGACAAUUACAAUUUAAAACAAACUACAAAAAGAACAACUUGUAACUAAAGAUUGCAUUAGCUAGGGGUUAUUUAUAAUGACCCAUAUGGAUGCAAUAUACAUGUAUAUACUUGACAAAGGACAGUACUGUAUAUAAGUUUUGUAAUUAUACAUGUUGUAUAUACUUUGUUACAGUAUUAUAAAUGUUUCUGUUUUGAUUGUGCAAUAAACAUAUUU